AAGCCAACAUGGAUCAUUGGGGUCCUUUAAUUUACCCAAAUUUCGCAUUAUCAACACCCCAAUACAGGUGCUUGUGAGGGGUUCUUUCUUGACAUGCACGCGAAACCUGAAUCUGGAGUCGCAGAAUCGGCACUUGAAGCCUCGGCAAUGCAAGCAGCAACAAUUUUGAACAGUGUUGAACUGAUGUAUAGGCCCGACCUUGUGGCUCGUCACAAGGUCGGGCCUAUAUUGUUUUAUGACACACGGAUCACCUAGGUGGAGAUGGGGGCACAGAGGAAUAUCCAAGGCCAAGAACGCUCUUUCAGCGUCCGCCAUAGAGGGGAUUUUGGCAGAAGGAUAGAUCGCCACGAGGGUGGUUGUGGUAAGCACUUUGCAUUUACCCCAGCGGACGAUGGUCCACGUUUCAUCCUGAAAAAGGCAAGGACGUUCCUGUAACGCAAGAGCCAUAUCAAAUGCGUCAUGGGAGCACUUUGGAAACUGGUAAGCUCGAUUACUGGACUUGCUGAGGUGCACCACAUCAUCAAAACUCGCACUUUGAUAAGGACAAAAUUGCAACAACCCUCUCCGAUAUCUUUUGCACUUGCGAUAAUGCGGAUUCUGAUCCCAGUCUAGCGGGUAGAACAUGGAUUUGUCAUGCCUUUUACUCCAGCACAUCCUGCAAGCCAUUUUUUUCAACCCGGGAUCGCGCUCCAGGAGGCAUUGGAGUUCGAACUUCCCUUGCGUCGUGAGCAACCUCGUGGUAGGGUAAUUGUGAUAAAACAGUCGGCACACAUAUCUUAAACACUCCAAUUCAAACGGCUUGAGAUGUUGUACAAUGAGGAGAAUGAUCUCAGGGGGUAAGCGGUGGAGGGUAGACUUCUUGGAAUUUUCUACCUCACCAGGUGUGAUAUAGUGUUGGUACAUUUUUGGGCAAUAUUUACCACCAUCAAAAGGUGAGUAUUUGCACUGGCUGCAUGUCAACUGAGGGCCAUGGGUGCAGCGAUCGUCGGACUUGGGAAAUUUGACUUGGAAGCAUCGAAAUAUUUUCGAACGAAGCUGAGGGAAGGUUAAUUUGCCAGGUGGAUUCUCCUCCUUUGGGGGAGGACGAUUUGGCUUUACCAUGGCAGUGAUAUUAUUACGUCAAGUCAAUGAAGAGGCAAGUUAUUCUAUUGGCAGCUUUGAAUUUCUUUCGUUUUCGUUCCUUUUUGAAUGAGAAAUGAUAUGACCGAUAAAUUUUUGGAACAUGAAGAAUGCGAAAAUAAAAAGAAAUAAAAUGAUGAAAUGGAAGGUGAACGGAUGGUAAACUCGGGAAUACAAGUGAUUGAAUGUUAGGAUUUUUACAAAUGACAUCAAUAUGCGGUCUACCAAUGAACGUCCUAAACCAGUAGCGCUUCAUGUAGUUAGACGUUGGAAAAAGGUAAAUUGAAUCAAAACUAA
rnacentral:sRNA from 1 species